UACGUAGGGAGCAAGCGUUGUCCGGAAUUACUGGGCGUAAAGGGCGCGUAGGCGGGAUCUUAAGUCAGGUGUGAAAACUCCGGGCUCAACCUGGAGAUUGCACUUGAAACUGAGAUUCUUGAGGACAGGAGAGGGAAGUGGAAUUCCUAGUGUAGCGGUGAAAUGCGUAGAUAUUAGGAGGAACACCAGUGGCGAAGGCGACUUCCUGGACUGCACCUGACGCUGAGGCGCGAAAGCGUGGGUAGCGAACGGGAUUAGAUACCCGGGUAGUCCCUGA
rnacentral:rRNA from 1 species